rnacentral:rRNA from 1 species
ACAGCCCCGUAACUUCGGAAGAAGGGGUGCUCUCUAGGGUGACAUGUUUAACAUAUGAAGCCCCGGGGAGCCGCAGUGAAUUGGUGGUGGCGACUGUUUACUAAAAACAUAGGUCUGUGCGAAGUCCUAAAGACGACGUAUACGGACUGACGCCUGCCCGGUGCUGGAAGGUUAAAAGGAGGGGUCAGCGCAAGCAAAGCUCCGAAUUGAAGCCCCAGUAAACGGCGGCCGUAACUAUAACGGUCCUAAGGUAGCGAAAUUCCUUGUCGGGUAAGUUCCGACCUGCACGAAUGGCGUAACGAUCUCCACACUGUCUCGGCCAGAGACUCGGUGAAAUUGCAGUCGCGGUGAAAAUUCCGUGUACCCGCAGAAAGACGGAAAGACCCUGUGCACCUUUACUAUAGCUUGACAUUGGAUUUUGGGCCUGCAUGUGUAGGAUAGGUGGGAGGCUGUGAACCCUGUACGCCAGUAUGGGGGGAGCCAUCCUUGAAAUACCACCCUUGCAUGUUU